UACAGAGGUCUCAAGCGUUGUUCGGAUUCAUUGGGCGUAAAGGGUGCGUAGGCGGCCUUAUAAGUCAGUGCUGAAAUAUCCCGGCUUAACCGGGAGGGUGGCAUUGAUACUGCGGGGCUAGAGUACAGAUGAGGUAGGCGGAAUUGACGGUGUAGCGGUGAAAUGCUUAGAUAUCGUCAAGAACACCUAUAGCGAAGGCAGCUUACUAGGCUGUAAACUGACGCUGAGGCACGAAAAGUGUGGGGGAUCAAAACAGGG
rnacentral:rRNA from 1 species